AAUUUGAUUUGGAGACAGGCUCUUGCUAUUCAGUCUUGGCUGUCUUUGAACUUGGGAUUGUCUUGCUUCAGUUCCUUUGUUCCUGAAAUGACUGACUUGAGUCAACCAACUAGGAAACUCUUCUUUAGGUAUAGUCUGGUAUGAAAUGUUUACAUCCAGCCUAAUGCUUUUAUGGGACAAGAAAAUAGUUUUUGGGCACAUUCUGCAAUCAAUUUCUGGAAAUGGAGAGGGAACUCACUCUCCAUUUAUCUUGAAUGAGAAUUGACCAGUUCUACAAAAUUUCAGCUGCAAAAGGCAAGUGAUGGAUAUUUUUUAAAGGCUCCAAAUAAGGAUUUCCAUGUUAAAACAUGAAAGCCUCAGUGCUGUGGCAAAUCCUGAAGAAGAAGCAGCCUCAUGAGUCAUCUAUGUUUUCACAGAAAAGGAAGCGAGCACAAAGAAGUUUCACAUGAAUCCAAGACAAAUGGAAUAGUGAAGAUUCACUGGGCAUCAUGUAUCAAAUUCUAUAUCACCUCUGAGUUAUACUGAUGCUUUUAAAAUAUA
rnacentral:lncRNA from 1 species